UUUAAGAAGUUAGCUAACACCGCCGCCGACGCCGCCGCCGCCGCCGGAUCACUAUCCCUAUGUCGAGCUUUCUGCAACAAAAGUUAGGCAGUUACGCAUGGUGACUUAUAUGUGAAAAACAAUAUCUGAUGAAUAGCUAGCAAUUCGUAAAAAUUCAACGACAGAUUAAUCUACGCUCCAUUUCUUUUAGUAAAAACAAGAUAUCAAUAGAUAUAGGAAGAUGUGGUGUGAGUGCCAACGAGACAACUCUCCAUCCAAAUCUUUUUAAAUUAACAUUUUUUCAUUCAACAUAAUUAGAUUUCAAAGAAAAAAGUAUGUCGUUAAAAGAAGGUUAAAUUAUUCCAAGCAUGAUAAUAUCCCAGUAAGAGCAAAGGGAAUCACACGUUUUAGCCAGACACUUUGUGACUUUUGUUGAAGAUUGAGUUAAUUUAAAUGGUUCCUGAAUAAAACACUACUCGCACUGAUCAAAUGAUUCCUGAAUAAAACACUACCCGCACUGAUCAAAAUACUUUUAGAGUUGUAUCGUUUAAUUAAAACGGUAAUAGAUACAAAACAAUGCAAAAGUCAAUUGCGGUUCAAUAGACAAGGCCGUUACAAAAUACAUUGAUUUCCAAGCUGAUUGUUAUCAUAUGUAUAGGAAGAGUUGUUCAUCUUUCCAUAAAAAAGGAAAGAGAAUUGUGUUUGUGCAGACUACAGAAUAUAUUUCAAAAACAUCAAUUUACAAUCAUAUGAAAAUGAUUAAACUACAUAAAAAUAUACUAAUAAAACAAUAACAAAAUAUAACAUUGAAAAAC
rnacentral:lncRNA from 1 species